GGUUAAGCGACUAAGCGUACACGGUGGAUGCCCUGGCAGUCAGAGGCGAUGAAGGGCGUACUAAUCUGCGAUAAGCGCCGGUAAGGUGAUAUGAACCGUUAUAACCGGCGAUACCCGAAUGGGGAAACCCAGUGUGAUUCGUCACACUAUCAUUAACUGAAUCCAUAGGUUAAUGAGGCGAACCGGGGGAACUGAAACAUCUAAGUACCCCGAGGAAAAGAAAUCAACCGAGAUUCCCCCAGUAGCGGCGAGCGAACGGGGAGGAGCCCAGAGCCUGAAUCAGCAUGUGUGUUAGUGGAAGCGUCUGGAAAGGCGCGCGAUACAGGGUGACAGCCCCGUACACAAAAGCGCAUGUGCUGUGAGCUCGAUGAGUAGGGCGGGACACGUGGUAUCCUGUCUGAAUAUGGGGGGACCAUCCUCCAAGGCUAAAUACUCCUGACUGACCGAUAGUGAACCAGUACCGUGAGGGAAAGGCGAAAAGAACCCCGGCGAGGGGAGUGAAAAAGAACCUGAAACCGUGUACGUACAAGCAGUGGGAGCACAGGUUUACCUGUGUGACUGCGUACCUUUUGUAUAAUGGGUCAGCGACUUAUAUUCUGUAGCAAGGUUAACCGAAUAGGGGAGCCGGAGGGAAACCGAGUCUUAAUUGGGCGUUAAGUUGCAGGGUAUAGACCCGAAACCCGGUGAUCUAGCCAUGGGCAGGUUGAAGGUUGGGUAACACUAACUGGAGGACCGAACCGACUAAUGUUGAAAAAUUAGCGGAUGACCUGUGGCUGGGGGUGAAAGGCCAAUCAAACCGGGAGAUAGCUGGUUCUCCCCGAAAGCUAUUUAGGUAGCGCCUCGUGAAUUCAUCUCCGGGGGUAGAGCACUGUUUCGGCUAGGGGGCCAUCCCGGCUUACCAACCCGAUGCAAACUGCGAAUACCGGAGAAUGUUAUCACGGGAGACACACGGCGGGUGCUAACGUCCGUCGUGAAGAGGGAAACAACCCAGACCGCCAGCUAAGGUCCCAAAGUCAUGGUUAAGUGGGAAACGAUGUGGGAAGGCCCAGACAGCCAGGAUGUUGGCUUAGAAGCAGCCAUCAUUUAAAGAAAGCGUAAUAGCUCACUGGUCGAGUCGGCCUGCGCGGAAGAUGUAACGGGGCUAAACCAUGCACCGAAGCUGCGGCAGCGACACUGUGUGUUGUUGGGUAGGGGAGCGUUCUGUAAGCCUGCGAAGGUGGCCUGUGAGGGUUGCUGGAGGUAUCAGAAGUGCGAAUGCUGACAUAAGUAACGAUAAAGCGGGUGAAAAGCCCGCUCGCCGGAAGACCAAGGGUUCCUGUCCAACGUUAAUCGGGGCAGGGUGAGUCGACCCCUAAGGCGAGGCCGAAAGGCGUAGUCGAUGGGAAACGGGUUAAUAUUCCCGUACUUGGUGUUACUGCGAAGGGGGGACGGAGAAGGCUAUGUUGGCCGGGCGACGGUUGUCCCGGUUUAAGCGUGUAGGUGUGUGUUCCAGGUAAAUCCGGUUCACUUUAACACUGAGGCGUGACGACGAGGCACUACGGUGCUGAAGCAACAAAUGCCCUGCUUCCAGGAAAAGCCUCUAAGCAUCAGGUAACAUCAAAUCGUACCCCAAACCGACACAGGUGGUCAGGUAGAGAAUACCAAGGCGCUUGAGAGAACUCGGGUGAAGGAACUAGGCAAAAUGGUGCCGUAACUUCGGGAGAAGGCACGCUGACACGUAGGUGAAGUGAUUUACUCAUGGAGCUGAAGUCAGUCGAAGAUACCAGCUGGCUGCAACUGUUUAUUAAAAACACAGCACUGUGCAAACACGAAAGUGGACGUAUACGGUGUGACGCCUGCCCGGUGCCGGAAGGUUAAUUGAUGGGGUCAGCGCAAGCGAAGCUCCUGAUCGAAGCCCCGGUAAACGGCGGCCGUAACUAUAACGGUCCUAAGGUAGCGAAAUUCCUUGUCGGGUAAGUUCCGACCUGCACGAAUGGCGUAAUGAUGGCCAGGCUGUCUCCACCCGAGACUCAGUGAAAUUGAACUCGCUGUGAAGAUGCAGUGUACCCGCGGCAAGACGGAAAGACCCCGUGAACCUUUACUAUAGCUUGACACUGAACAUUGAGCCUUGAUGUGUAGGAUAGGUGGGAGGCUUUGAAGUGUGGACGCCAGUCUGCAUGGAGCCGACCUUGAAAUACCACCCUUUAAUGUUUGAUGUUCUAACGUGGACCCGUUACCCGGGUUGCGGACAGUGUCUGGUGGGUAGUUUGACUGGGGCGGUCUCCUCCUAAAGAGUAACGGAGGAGCACGAAGGUUGGCUAAUCCUGGUCGGACAUCAGGAGGUUAGUGCAAUGGCAUAAGCCAGCUUGACUGCGAGCGUGACGGCGCGAGCAGGUGCGAAAGCAGGUCAUAGUGAUCCGGUGGUUCUGAAUGGAAGGGCCAUCGCUCAACGGAUAAAAGGUACUCCGGGGAUAACAGGCUGAUACCGCCCAAGAGUUCAUAUCGACGGCGGUGUUUGGCACCUCGAUGUCGGCUCAUCACAUCCUGGGGCUGAAGUAGGUCCCAAGGGUAUGGCUGUUCGCCAUUUAAAGUGGUACGCGAGCUGGGUUUAGAACGUCGUGAGACAGUUCGGUCCCUAUCUGCCGUGGGCGCUGGAGAACUGAGGGGGGCUGCUCCUAGUACGAGAGGACCGGAGUGGACGCAUCACUGGUGUUCGGGUUGUCAUGCCAAUGGCACUGCCCGGUAGCUAAAUGCGGAAGAGAUAAGUGCUGAAAGCAUCUAAGCACGAAACUUGCCCCGAGAUGAGUUCUCCCUGAGACUUAAAGUCUCCUGAAGGAACGUUGAAGACGACGACGUUGAUAGGCCGGGUGUGUAAGCGCAGCGAUGCGUUGAGCUAACCGGUACUAAUGAACCGUGAGGCUUAACCUU
rnacentral:rRNA from 3 species